GUUGGCGGCCAAAGCAAGGGGGAAACAUCUGUUCCCGUUCCGAACACAGUAAUUAAGCCCCUUAGCGAUCUGGGUUGUACUUUCCGAAAGGAAGGGAACUCCAGGACGCUGCCAACA
rnacentral:rRNA from 1 species